rnacentral:rRNA from 1 species
CCUACGGGAGGCAGCAGUGGGGAAUUUUGGACAAUGGGCGCAAGCCUGAUCCAGCAAUGCCGCGUGAGUGAAGAAGGCCUUCGGGUUGUAAAGCUCUUUUGUCAGGGAAGAAACGGCUGAGGCUAAUAUCCUCGGCUAAUGACGGUACCUGAAGAAUAAGCACCGGCUAACUACGUGCCAGCAGCCGCGGUAAUACGUAGGGUGCAAGCGUUAAUCGGAAUUACUGGGCGUAAAGCGUGCGCAGGCGGUUUUGUAAGUCUGUCGUGAAAGCCCCGGGCUUAACCUGGGAAUUGCGAUGGAGACUGCAAGGCUUGAAUCUGGCAGAGGGGGGUAGAAUUCCACGUGUAGCAGUGAAAUGCGUAGAGAUGUGGAGGAACACCGAUGGCGAAGGCAGCCCCCUGGGUCAAGAUUGACGCUCAUGCACGAAAGCGUGGGGAGCAAACAGGAUUAGAUACCCUGGUAGUCCACGCCCUAAACGAUGUCUACUAGUUGUCGGGUCUUAAUUGACUUGGUAACGCAGCUAACGCGUGAAGUAGACCGCCUGGGGAGUACGGUCGCAAGAUUAAAAACUCAAAAGUAGUAAGUUACGGACGGNGAGAGAGACGACGACGACGACGACGGAGGGAGGAGG